AAUUAAACAAAUAUAUGCUUUCAUAUAAGUUUGGGGAUAUGGCCUAGAUGUUUCUACGAAGUUACCGUAAAUAACUUCUCUAUGACGGCAAGAGAGCAAGCU
rfam:Lysinibacillus sp. BF-4 contig00004, whole genome shotgun sequence.